rnacentral:rRNA from 1 species
AUACGGAGGGUGCAAGCGUUAAUCGGACUUACUGGGCGUAAAGCGUACGUAGGCGGUUAUUUAAGUCAGAUGUGAAAGCCCCGGGCUUAACUUGGGAACUGCAUUUGAAACUGGGUAACUAGAGUUUAGUGAGGGGAGUGGAAUUUCAGGUGUAGCGGUGAAAUGCGUAGAGAUCUGAAGGAACACCAGUGGCGAAGGCGACUCCCUGGACUAGAACUGACGCUGAGGUACGAAAGCGUGGGUAGCAAACAGGAUUAGAAACCCUAGUAGUCC